rnacentral:rRNA from 1 species
UACGUAGGGUGCAAGCGUUAAUCGGAAUUACUGGGCGUAAAGCGCGCGCAGGCGGUUUAUUAAGUCAGAUGUGAAAUCCCCGAGCUUAACUUGGGAAUUGCAUUCGAUACUGGUAGGCUAGAGUAUGGGAGAGGAUGGUAGAAUUCCAUGUGUAGCGGUGAAAUGCGUAGAGAUGUGGAGGAAUACCGAAGGCGAAGGCAGCCACGUGG